rnacentral:rRNA from 1 species
AGGCUCAGGACGAACGCUGGCGGCGUGCCUAAUACAUGCAAGUCGAGCGGACAGAAGGGAGCUUGCUCCCGGAUGUUAGCGGCGGACGGGUGAGUAACACGUGGGUAACCUGCCUGUAAGACUGGGAUAACUCCGGGAAACCGGAGCUAAUACCGGAUAGUUCCUUGAACCGCAUGGUUCAAGGAUGAAAGACGGUUUCGGCUGUCACUUACAGAUGGACCCGCGGCGCAUUAGCUAGUUGGUGGGGUAAUGGCUCACCAAGGCGACGAUGCGUAGCCGACCUGAGAGGGUGAUCGGCCACACUGGGACUGAGACACGGCCCAGACUCCUACGGGAGGCAGCAGUAGGGAAUCUUCCGCAAUGGACGAAAGUCUGACGGAGCAACGCCGCGUGAGUGAUGAAGGUUUUCGGAUCGUAAAGCUCUGUUGUUAGGGAAGAACAAGUGCGAGAGUAACUGCUCGCACCUUGACGGUACCUAACCAGAAAGCCACGGCUAACUACGUGCCAGCAGCCGCGGUAAUACGUAGGUGGCAAGCGUUGUCCGGAAUUAUUGGGCGUAAAGGGCUCGCAGGCGGUUUCUUAAGUCUGAUGUGAAAGCCCCCGGCUCAACCGGGGAGGGUCAUUGGAAACUGGGAAACUUGAGUGCAGAAGAGGAGAGUGGAAUUCCACGUGUAGCGGUGAAAUGCGUAGAGAUGUGGAGGAACACCAGUGGCGAAGGCGACUCUCUGGUCUGUAACUGACGCUGAGGAGCGAAAGCGUGGGGAGCGAACAGGAUUAGAUACCCUGGUAGUCCACGCCGUAAACGAUGAGUGCUAAGUGUUAGGGGGUUUCCGCCCCUUAGUGCUGCAGCUAACGCAUUAAGCACUCCGCCUGGGGAGUACGGUCGCAAGACUGAAACUCAAAGGAAUUGACGGGGGCCCGCACAAGCGGUGGAGCAUGUGGUUUAAUUCGAAGCAACGCGAAGAACCUUACCAGGUCUUGACAUCCUCUGACAACCCUAGAGAUAGGGCUUUCCCUUCGGGGACAGAGUGACAGGUGGUGCAUGGUUGUCGUCAGCUCGUGUCGUGAGAUGUUGGGUUAAGUCCCGCAACGAGCGCAACCCUUGAUCUUAGUUGCCAGCAUUCAGUUGGGCACUCUAAGGUGACUGCCGGUGACAAACCGGAGGAAGGUGGGGAUGACGUCAAAUCAUCAUGCCCCUUAUGACCUGGGCUACACACGUGCUACAAUGGACAGAACAAAGGGCUGCAAGACCGCAAGGUUUAGCCAAUCCCAUAAAUCUGUUCUCAGUUCGGAUCGCAGUCUGCAACUCGACUGCGUGAAGCUGGAAUCGCUAGUAAUCGCGGAUCAGCAUGCCGCGGUGGAAUACGUUUUCCCGGGCCUUGUACACACCGGCCCGUCACACCACGAAGAGUUUGCAACACCCGAAGUCGGUGAGGUAACCUUUAUGGAGCCAGCCGCCGAAGGUGGGGCAGAUGAUUGGGGUGAA